rnacentral:misc_RNA from 1 species
GAUGAAGAACGUAGCGAAAUGCGAUACGUAAUGUGAAUUGCAGAAUUCAGUGAAUCAUCGAGUCUUUGAACGCACAUUGCGCCCCCUGGUAUUCCGGGGGGCAUGCCUGUCCGAGCGUCAUUGCUGCCCUCAAGCACGGCUUGUGUGUUGGGCCUCCGCCCCCCGGCUCCCGGGGGGCGGGCCCGAAAGGCAGCGGCGGCACCGCGUCCGGUCCUCGAGCGUAUGGGGCUUCGUCACCCGCUCCGUAGGCCCGGCCGGCGCCCGCCGGCGACCCCCCUCAAUCUUUCCAGGUUGACCUCGGAUCAGGUAGGGAUACCCGCUGAACUUAAGCAUAUUAAUAAGCGGAGGA